rnacentral:rRNA from 1 species
CCUACGGGUGGCAGCAGUGGGGAAUAUUGCGCAAUGGGCGAAAGCCUGACGCAGCGACGCCGCGUGAGGGAUGAAGGUCUUCGGAUCGUAAACCUCUUUCAGCAGGGAAGAACGGUCACUGUGCUAUUCAGCAGUGAAUUGACGGUACCUGCAAAGGAAGCACCGGCUAACUCCGUGCCAGCAGCCGCGGUAAUACGGAGGGUGCGAGCGUUAAUCGGAAUUACUGGGCGUAAAGCGCUCGUAGGCGGUAUGUCAAGUCAAGGGUGAAAGCCCCGGGCUCAACGUGGGAACUGCCUUUGAAACUGGCAAACUGGAGUAUGUGAGAGGAUAGUGGAAUUCCAGGUGUAGGAGUGAAAUCCGUAGAUAUCUGGAGGAACAUCAGUGGCGAAGGCGACUAUCUGGCACAUAACUGACGCUGAGGAGCGAAAGCGUGGGUAGCAAACAGGAUUAGAUACCCCAGUAGUC